CGUAGGGCAAGCGUUGUCCGGAUUUAUUGGGCGUAAAGAGCGUGUAGGCGGCCAGGUAGGUCCGUUGUGAAACUGGAGGCUUAACCUUCAGACGUCGAUGGAAACCAUCUGGCUAGAGUCCGGAAGAGGAGAAUGGAAUUCCUGGUGUAGCGGUGAAAUGCGCAGAUAUCAGGAAGAACACCCGUGGCGAAGGCGGUUCUCUGGGACGGUACUGACGCUGAGACGCGAAAGCGUGGGGAGCGAACAGGAUU
rnacentral:rRNA from 1 species